GCGAUUGUAGCUCAGUUGGUUAGAGCGCACGGCUGAUAACCGUGAGGUCGGUGGUUCAAGUCCUCCCAGUCGCACCA
rnacentral:tRNA from 1 species